GAGUUUGAUCUUGGCUCAGGACGAACGCUGGCGGCGUGCUUAACACAUGCAAGUCGAGCGGUAAGGCCUCUUUGGGGGUACACGAGCGGCGAACGGGUGAGUAACACGUGGGUGACCUGCCCUCUACUCUGGGAUAAGCUUGGGAAACUGGGUCUAAUACCGGAUAUGACUUCAUGCUGCAUGGUGUGGGGUGGAAAGCUGUGUCCUUUUGGGGAUGCUGUGGUGGGGGAUGGGCCCGCGGCCUAUCAGCUUGUUGGUGGGGUGAUGGCCUACCAAGGCUUCGACGGGUAGCCGGCCUGAGAGGGCGUCCGGCCACACUGGGACUGAGACACGGCCCAGACUCCUACGGGAGGCAGCAGUGGGGAAUAUUGCGCAAUGGGCGGAAGCCUGACGCAGCGACGCCGCGU
rnacentral:rRNA from 1 species